rnacentral:rRNA from 1 species
GAUGAACGCUAGCGGCAGGCCUAAUACAUGCAAGUCGAACGGUGUAGCAAUACACAGUGGCGCACGGGUGCGUAACACGUAUGCAACCUACCUUACAUUGGGGGAUAGCCUUUCGAAAGGGAGAUUAAUACCGCAUAAGACAGUAACUAGGCAUCUAGUAGCUGUUAAAGAUUUAUCGAUGUAAGCUGGGCAUGCGUCCAAUUAGUUAGUUGGUGAGGUAACGGCUCACCAAGACGAUGAUUGGUAGGGGAACUGAGAGGUCAAUCCCCCACACUGGCACUGAGAUACAGGCCAGACUCCUAGGGGAGGCAGCAGUAGGGAAUAUUGGGAAAUGGGCGCAAGCCUGACCCAGCCAUGCCGCGUGCAGGAAGAAGGCGUUAUGCGUUGUAAACUGCUUUUAUACAGGAAGAAACGACCCUUGCGAGGGGCAUUGACGGUACUGUAUGAAUAAGCACCGGCUAACUCCGUGCCAGCCGCCGCGGUAAGAC